GCUCGCUCCUGCAGCACAUACUAAAAUUGGACCAAUACAGAGAUUAGCAUGGCCCCUGCAUAAGGAUGACACGCAAAUUCGUGAGGCAUUCCAUACUUUU
rnacentral:snRNA from 1 species